UAAGAAUUAGUUAAUAUAUUUAUAACAUUAAAUUGUCAAUUUAAAAUAAUUUUUAUCCUAAAUAAAUAAAUAUUCUUAA
rnacentral:tRNA from 1 species